AAUUCAAGAACUGGUCCGAGUUAAGCAAAGUGUGCCGAAUUCAUAUGCUGGAAUUUCAGUAAAUGUGUGCACAACUAACAAGUAACAAGACACACUCAGUCGUAUCUGUCGUGACUGUGUUCGCGAUGAUUAGUUGAUAUAACUGUAGAUGUAUAUAUUUCUUUUCCCGGAAGAAAAGGAAGAGAAAUUAUACCUCAGUUGUCCAUGGGCAGCAACAGGUACAGACCUGAUCUAUGUGUGCCGAGAUAAUAGCAUCAGGCUGGUUAUAACUGAUGACAAAGAAACGAAACACUGUUGAACAGCAUGCAGCCUCUCUAAUUGCGAUGGCACCUCAAGUGCACAACAAUAAUUAAUUCUCUAGUGAUUAGAGACUUGAUCAGUUGCACUGUCUGAUGAAACACCGACAGUUGACACCGGAGGAAACAGACAAACUAAUGCAUAGCGGCUACGUCUAGUGAGUGACUAGAUGUCAUGGAGACAGUUCAGUUCAGUUAGCGUUGACAGCGGGCGAGUGCUACGAUAAGCAAACCAUCGGACCCAUUUUGGAGCUUUGAAUGUGUUUUACUUUCCUUGUUCUCAAAAUAAUUUUUGAACAUUGAAUACACAAAACGUAAAUUUUGGCUAGAUGAUUAUGACCGCAUACAUGAUCCUAUUUUGGGUUCCUUGAAACGAACCCGUCUCACUCUUGAAGAUGAGAAGCCUGACAAUGUUUCAAGUAGACCGUGAUAAUCAAGGUUGAUUCGUUCCCUUGGGGUUUGGGCCUCAAUAAGCUGUAACAGCAUGUCUAAA
rnacentral:lncRNA from 1 species